UUGAGGCUGUUGAACAGAGACGAAACCGAUUUCAAAUCCUAAGAGUACAAAACUCUUGCAUUCAAAUGGUUUUAUCUAUUUAAGCUGCUCCCCCCUUUUCUUUCUUCAAACAAGUAGUUAAUUUGUUUUUUCGAAUUUACUCAAUUCUGUCGUAAUAGAGAUUAGCUCAGUUGCUAGCUGAUAAUAGCACAAGAGAUUAUGAUUUUUUUUACGAAGAGUACUUCCUCGCAUGAUGGCAAGAGUGUUGACCGGGAACAAGAACGUAAGUUCAACGAGCUUAAAGCUUCUGACACAGUGGAAGCACCUGCACAAAUCAUUGGUUCUCAGGCGACUAAAAAAAAGGGAGCUACAUGUGUUCUGAUUUAAGGAAUUGGAUAAGAACAGACGUGGGAGGUAAUUAGGGUGGCAGAACUUUUGGAACAGCAGGAUAUAUUAUUCAAAUGAGAAAAAUGCUGUAAUCCGUCAAAGGCUCAUAUUCUUCGAUUGAUUGAAAAAUGUAGUAAUCGUACAAGCAAAUGUAAGUUUAAUAUUCCGAUGCAUGUGAAAAAUUAGUAGACAAACAAAUAUAUUGUUGAGUUACGGGCUUGAUUCUGCCAACAUAUUAUGUAUGAUCUUUUUUGGUAUUAUAUAAGUGCAAUCAUAUC